rnacentral:piRNA from 1 species
UGUUUGCAACUACUAUUAAUAAGUGUUGA